AUCAGACGUGAAAGAUCUCUCUUUGCAGCCAACAGUAAAGAACAACAGUACAAGAAUGAGGAUGCUGAUAGCGGCGAGCUGCUUUCUGGCCAUCUGGAUGAGGUUUGUGAUUGGAGACAAGGUAGAGGGGUACAUCAUCUUCAGUGAAGGCAUCCAGCUCAUUGUGAGGGGCCCUCAGACCUCUGCUGCCGACCCUUCGGUUACCGUGUUCCCGCCUCCCCAGGACCAGCUGCGCUCCUCUGGCAGGGCCACUCUGGUGUGCCUGAUCCGAGGGCUGUCCACCAGCAUGGCAGACGUCAGCUGGUACUCUAACGGGGAGCUGGUGACAAAGGGAGUCAUCGUCAGCCCGGCUUCGAGAGACAGCGACGGGACCUUCAGCACCGUCAGCCUGCUCACCAUCCCUGCACUCAGCUGGGAGCAGGGCCACACCUACUCCUGCACAGCCACGGAUGGGGACAAGGUCGCGGAGAGCAGUGUCCAGGCAUCUCGCUGCUGAGCUGUGGGGCUCUCACUCUGGAUGUGCGACAGGAAUCCUUCCCUUUACAAAGCUGCCAAUUCGCACCAACUAUACCAGAGGAUCAGGGGACAGAGUACGGGAUUGUGGAGAGAAGGAAGGUCAGAUUUUCAAAUACUUUGAAGGUGGGCACCGGAGAGAAACAGAAAUUGAUCUUAUGGUAGCUAUCACUCAUCCAGCUAUGUGAAUCACCACCACUACAUUUUUAAGGGGCUCGCAGGCCAGUAGCUGUCCAACGGUACACAGAAUGAAAAGGAGAUCAGGAAGGGAGCUGGGCAGGUUAUCCUUGGCUACCAGUUGAAAUGGUACUUGGGACAAAAUAAUCUUUUAAAAAAAAAUCUUCUAGGGGAUGAGGUCAACGUACAGUAGCUUUCAGAACACAGUUUUUGAGACAGGCUUAAAGCCAAGUGAGAAAUUCUGACAAUGCAGCAUUAUUCUCUGGUGAGCAAGACAUUAUCUUUAAUGCUUUACUGUACUUUAGACUGUUCCAAUGAGCCUGCUGUAUACCUUGUAAGACAGGAGCAUGCACAAUAAUUUGGAAAUGUGGAUGUGCCAUCAUGUGUUACAAUAAAAUUGCUUAUUUCUAA